CCAUCUGCUUUGUAUAUACUUAGAUGUUCUCCUUGCAGCCCAGUCUGUGAAAUAAAACAUGAAGGAAGAAGAGAAAAGAUCUGUGGUUAGAUGAUUUUAGCGGAGAGCUACGAACUGGACGGAGAACAUUCCUGCUCAAGAGGAGUACUACGGAAGAAAGAAAAAAUAAAUAAAUAAAUAAAGCUCAAGAAGAAUGAUUUUUCAGUUCUGUUUUCUCAAUUCCAGUUGGGAUUCAAAAGCAUUUAGAGAGGAAGAUAAAGAAUUUCAUCUGGCAUUAUAAGUUAUAACCCAAAUAGAAAAUCUCUUCACCUGUUGAAGUGGGAUAAAGUGACUUUGCCCAAGUCUGAGGGUGGUUAUGGUGUGAGAGUCUUAAAAAGUAUUGAUUUGGCUCCAAAUUUGUCUUAACUUGGGACUUCAGUCAAUCCAAGGAAGCCUUAUGUAUUGCAAGGUUUAGUGAUAAACACUCUAAAUAGGCCAACUUUUGGAAUUGUGUUCCAAAAGCAAGUGAUUCUGCAGUUUGGAGGAAUCUGCUGUCAGGGAUAGUUUGCUUAAUUAUUUGGAGUUCCAGUUGCAUAAUGGUAGAGAUUUCCGCUUGCUAUUGGAUUCUGGGUAUAAAGGCGCCUCUUUAAUUCAGGUUUUUGGUCCCAGAAGACUGGGAGGAGGCGGGCUGCAGAAAGAUUCUUUGGUUGCUGCUCUGUUACAUGCAAGUCAUUGGAACAUUCCUGCUACUUGGCCUUCUGAGAUUGCAGAGUUUCUUUAGAAUUUUACUAAUUAUAGUUUCCCUACAAAUAUUGUUAGCCGAGAUAUGAUAGGCCCAAAUCAUGGGAUGUGAUUUACCAUAUUAUCUGUGAGAUAUGAUAGCCACAAAUCAUGUAUUUGACUUUAUUUACGCAUAUGUCUAGGCAUAGAAUAUGCAAUGAUUUUAUGUAGUUUCAUUUAUUGUAAUAUAACAUGUGCUCUUUUUAGUAUAUAAAUAUGAGAGU